GACGAACGCUGGCGGCGUGCUUAACACGUGCAAGUCGAACGGAAAGGCCCUGCUUUUGUGGGGUGCUCGAGUGGCGAACGGGUGAGUAACACGUGAGUAACCUGCCCUUGACUUUGGGAUAACUUCAGGAAACUGGGGCUAAUACCGGAUAGGAGCUCCUGCUGCAUGGUGGGGGUUGGAAAGUUUCGGCGGUUGGGGAUGGACUCGCGGCUUAUCAGCUUGUUGGUGGGGUAGUGGCUUACCAAGGCCUUGACGGGUAGCCGGCCUGAGAGGGUGACCGGCCACAUUGGGACUGAGAUACGGCCCAGACUCCUACGGGAGGCAGCAGUGGGGAAUAUUGCACAAUGGGCGGAAGCCUGAUGCAGCAACGCCGCGUGCGGGAUGACGGCCUUCGGGUUGUAAACCGCUUUCGCCUGUGACGAAGCGUGAGUGACGGUAAUGGGUAAAGAAGCACCGGCUAACUACGUG
rnacentral:rRNA from 1 species